UGUGCCAGCACACUCAGUUUAUAAUAGCUAGCCUUAACUGACUCACACUGGCCAGGCACUGUGCUAGGAUGGUUCUUUCUUCAGUGCUGGGAAUGGAACCUAAGUCUUCAGAUGUGCCAUGAAAACGUUCUACCACUGAACUGGAACUCUCCAGCCCAAGAGCAAAGUUCCUUCUACCUGCUGAUGAAAACAACCCCAUGGAGAAUAUCUUACCUGAAACUACCAUAGACUAUCAGAAGAAUGGAAAUCAGAAAUGUCGACACUUGACUGGAAUCCACCAGGGAAUAGGCCCUAGAGAAAUAAAGAGGACAAAUAUUAACUCACAGGCUGCAGGUGCUCAAGGAGUUCACAGUCCCUGCAUUUACUAAAUGAGAUGUACGUUAGCAUUAGCAACACAAACCAUUAAAACAAAAUAUGCUAACUUACCACACGGGACACAAAGAGAGCUUCAUAGCAUUGUUAUGGUGUAAAAACUUCAUCUCUGUAUGAUGAUACAUAACGUUUGUAACAUCCACUACCAACUUAAACCUAUUCCAAUAAAAAAAAAAAUCUCAGCA